AGGUGGGGCAGAUGAUUAGGGUGAAGUCGUAACAAGGUAGCCGUAGGAGAACCUGCGGCUGGAUCACCUCCUUU
rnacentral:ncRNA from 1 species